AACCCAGGGCUUUUGCACUGAACUGAAUCUCCAGCCCUUUUUAUUUUGAUAGAGGGUCUCACAACAUCCCUGAGCUGUCCAGGCUGGGCUUGGACUUGCGAUCCUCCCAUCUCAGCCUCAGAGGGCUGGAUUUACAGGGAUGUGCCACCAUGCCCGGCAGAAAAUGAGGCGCUUAUGUCUCCAUAAGCCUUUUUCUUUUUUCUUUUUUUUUUGGUACUGGGGAUCGAACUCGGGUCCUUGCACUUGCGCAGCAGAUGGCAAAACCACUGAGCUAAAUCCCCGGCUAAAAUGAGGCUUUUAAAUAGAUCUCAAUACUUAGCAUUAUACUCAAUGGCAGUGAGCCUGCUUAGGACCCAAAUUUUGCUUUCUAAAUGCCAUUCCCCACUAAAAAGGAACCUUGGCUCUUUGAAGAAAUGAUUGAUUCCUUGUUUGGAGUAGGGGAAGCAUUUUUUCCAUGCUUGGGAAAAAAAAGCAAGAUAGAAUGUGAGCAUUAAUGGGUUAAUGUCAGAAGGACAGGAGCACAUGACUGCGUAUAUACACACGUGUGUAUAUGUUCCCAUUGGACAAAUUUGGACAAUUUAAAGAAAAAUUAAUCACCAUAAUUGGUUGUAAUACACCUAGAAGGGAAAAAAAAAGCUCAUAGUGAUGAAAACAGACAACAAAGCUCUGUAUAAGGUAAUUUGAAGAAUGCUAUCUUUCAAAUACAGAUGAUUUUGAAAAAUCAUUUCACAACCUUAAUUAAAUCUAGAAGAAAACGAUGGUAAAACUUGUAAGGUAAAAAAAAAUUAACGUUGUUUACAUGAUGUUAAAAGAUCAGAGAUAGUGAUGGCAAAAGAUUUGUUUUUAUAAUGAGAUCCAUUUAAUUGUUUCACUACUUAUAUGAAAGCAUGUAGCUUCCCAUGAGAUGCAAAAUGAAGCAUACACAAGCAUAUAUAUUGCCCACAUGUUUCAUGAAUAUCUAAUUAAAUCUAUGUAAAAUUAUCUUCCUGUUUAUAAGGAAUAGAGGAAUAAGUUGAGUUACAUAGCAAGAAAGUAGAAUUAAGUAGACAGUUUAAGACAGUGUAUAAGACAACUGACCUAGGCUUUUCAGAAAGCCAAUAUAUUAAAUAAGAGGACUCUUCUAGAUAAGACACUUGAGAUAACCAAAUACCAGGAGUGAUCUUUCACUAGCUUCUGAUUCAGAAAAAAACAAACAGCUAUCAGAAAUAUUUGGGAAAAUAUUAAGAUAGGGUAUUAGAUAAUAUGGUGUGUUUAAUUUUCUUAGAAAUGGUAUUAGAGAUAUAGGAUAAUGUCCUUAUUAAUAGAUGCAUGCAGAAGUUUUUAAGUAUGAAAGGUCAUAUCUGCUAAGAAUUUUCAAAUAUGUAAAAUACUACUCUAGUUGUUGGACCUUUGUGGUAGAUAUAGAAAUAUUCAUUCGUCAUCCUUUAAACUUGUCUGUAUGUUUAAACUUUUAAUAAAAAUUGAGGCAAAAA
ensembl:lncRNA